GGGUCGGUGGCGUAGUUGGUUAUCGCAUCUGUCUAACACAAUCAUGUGAUCAUCAAGUCACGUGAUACGUGCACAGAAGGUUCUCAGUUCGAACCUGGGCCGACUCA